rnacentral:rRNA from 1 species
AUGUAGAAUUUCUUCGGAAAGGAAGCGCCUGUGACUGAGUGGCGGACGGGUGAGUAACGCGUGGGCAACCUGCCCCAUACCGGGGGACAACAGCUGGAAACGGCUGCUAAUACCGCAUACGUUUUCGGUGCCGCAUGGUGCUGAAAAGAAAACUCCGGUGGUAUGGGAUGGGCCCGCGUCUGAUUAGCUAGUUGGGAGGGUAACGGCCUACCAAGGCGACGAUCAGUAGCCGGCCUGAGAGGGCGACCGGCCACAUUGGGACUGAGACACGGCCCAGACUCCUGCGGGAGGCAGCAGUGGGGAAUAUUGCACAAUGGGGGAAACCCUGAUGCAGCGACGCCGCGUGAGCGAAGAAGUACCUCGGUAUGUAAAGCUCUAUCAGCAGGGAAGAAAGUGACAGUACCUGACUAAGAAGCCCCGGCUAACUACGUGCCAGCAGCCGCGGUAAUACGUAGGGGGCAAGCGUUAUCCGGAUUCACUGGGCGUAAAGGGAGCGCAGGCGGCGCGGCAAGUCUGAUGUGAAAGCUCGGGGCUCAACCCCGGGUCUGCAUUGGAAACUGUCGAGCUAGAGUGUCGGAGGGGUAAGCGGAAUUCCUAGUGUAGCGGUGAAAUGCGUAGAUAUUAGGAGGAACACCAGUGGCGAAGGCGGCUUACUGGACGAUGACUGACGCUAAGGCUCGAAAG